CCACCGAUCGUUGCGGAGGUGACAAUAUGGGUGCCAUAGUUUUCAAUAAAGCUUGCCAGUGAUGCAGGAUCCCAAGAGUAUGGAACAGCACGCUUGAUUUCAUCUCGUAGAAGUAAAUCAAACUUAACUAAUCUCACUGUAAAUAGUGGGAUAACAUGUCCAAUCAUGGCAAGGGAUUUAGUAGCUGCCGCAUCUUGUUGCCAUGAACCAGUGAAGUUAAACAUGGAGUUAAAGCUUCCAAGUGGGACAUCUCCAAAUAUAUUGGAGAUUGCAUUGAAGUACUUUGCCAUCUCAUGGAAGGUAAAAACAGG
rnacentral:misc_RNA from 1 species